rnacentral:ncRNA from 1 species
GAAAAGGCAGUGAAGGGAAGAGUAGGCAGGCAAGUCCUUUAUAAGAGAGCCGGAUAAGGUGAAAGCCGGCAAGGAACUAUAUGCUGAAUAUGGCCCCGGAGCCCUCCGCCCGAGAUGAUUCAGGGCGGAACGCAUAAGGCACGUUAUAGCCUGAUUGAGGCUUUUGGGCAAUGCCCAAACAGCAAAUAGGGUGGUACCGCGGAGAAUAUUCGCCCCUGGA